rnacentral:lncRNA from 1 species
GUUCAAUAUUAUCUCUUCCUGCAGCUUCAAAACAUCUAGGUAUAAUAAUAACUCUGAAAACGUAUGGAAAUGAGUUCUCAAUAAUAAUUAGAUGCUAUUGUGGCUGAUGAGAAUUAACUGAAAUUAUUGUUACCAUCUCUAACUGUCAUAAUAAAAAGACAUGCCUUGUGUUUAUCUAGGUAAUUCAAAGACUGGUCAGCAAGCAAAUUUGCAAGAUGUUUUUAAGAAAAAAAU